AUUGAACGCUGGCGGCAUGCUUUACACAUGCAAGUCGAACGGCAGCGCGGGGCAACCUGGCGGCGAGUGGCGAACGGGUGAGUAAUAUAUCGGAACGUACCCAGACGUGGGGGAUAACGUAGCGAAAGUUACGCUAAUACCGCAUACGAUCUACGGAUGAAAGUCGGGGACCGCAAGGCCUUAUGCUUUUGGAGCGGCCGAUAUCUGAUUAGCUAGUUGGUGAGGUAAAGGCUCACCAAGGCGACGAUCAGUAGCUGGUCUGAGAGGACGAGCAGCCACACUGGAACUGAGACACGGUCCAGACUCCUACGGGAGGCAGCAGUGGGGAAUUUUGGACAAUGGGCGCAAGCCUGAUCCAGCAAUGCCGCGUGAGUGAAGAAGGCCUUCGGGUUGUAAAGCUCUUUUGUCAGGGAAGAAACGGUAGAGGCUAAUAUCCUUUGCUAAUGACGGUACCUGAAGAAUAAGCACCGGCUAACUACGUG
rnacentral:rRNA from 1 species